rnacentral:lncRNA from 1 species
AAUAAUUCCACUUUUUCAGAAUGUUAAAAGCAUCAGAAACACAGAGAGAUGAUUAAUGAAAGUGAAUCUGCCCUCUCUUCAAACUACCAGUACAAACCCAUUCUGGAUUGUUAGUCCUUGAAGUUUGGGGUCAUCCUGCUUCCUGGCUAACUGGGAUAAAAAUAUUAAGAUUUGAAUUUUUCCUUUCAAUUUUAAAAAUGGUACAUACACAUACAUAAAUGUGUAUGUAUUACACUAUAUAUUAUUUCAUAGUUCAUAUGUAUAUAUAUGUAAUUAUUUACAUAAGGUCAUAUGUGCUUCUUGUGUAUGCCCAAAUGGAUUGUCUGAAUGUGGCUUUUAUGUAGGUGCGGAUAAAUCUUUGUAAUCUCGCCUCUUCAUCUCCAAGGGGAGAUUUUGUCUGCUGCCUAGAGGGGAUGCAGGAAUGGAAGACAAAAUUGGAGAGAAGACUCAUAUUGGCCUUUGACAGGAAAAUAACAGACAAUGGAGGGGUGUAAGGAUGGUCAGCCAAUCCAAAUCCUGUUUUGAUUCUGUGCUCUCUUCCAAGUAGAGUAGAAUGAUCUUCAAAUUGAGAAGGCUUACAGGGAACUCAGGGUUCUUGCUAUCAAGAAAGAAGACAUUUACCCCAGACCUUUUGGGUUCUGCAGUAGUUCUGUGCUGUUAUAUAAUGAACAAAGACGAAGGUGUUCCAGAAAGGGGAGGGUUACUCCAUCAUCAUCUUCUGUUUUGGAGAAGAGAAGAACUCAACUGAAAUUCUGAAGAACAGGAUUGACAGGAGAAGCCCCUGAAGAGAGCAGUGGAUUUUGAGAGUGAACAAGUGGUCAAGAAAUCUGAGAAUAGGAUUUAGAUAUGUAGGCCAUUCCUUUAAAAAAUGAACAGAAGAAAGGCCUAAAGGAAAUACAAACUUUAAAAGUUACAUGCUGAUUUAUUGUUCAUUUAAAAGAAAAAGUCAGAUGUGUAUAACAGAGAUUUAGUUGAUUUACAAUCCUCUUUUUCUGUUCUGCUAUGAAUACAGGAAUAUUCUUUUUCUUGGUGUCAGAAAUAAUGAUGAUGAUGAUGAUGGUGAUGAUGAUGAUGAUAAUUGAAAAAUGGAAGAUAGAAAACUGUUUAUAUGUAUUUUCCAAACUAGAAAUAAAGAUUUCACUAAGCAGUAAACUAUAACA